rnacentral:lncRNA from 1 species
GUGGAGGCUGUUGGGGAAGUAACUUCAACAGGAGCCAGGGGUCCAGGACACAUGAUCUAAUGCCUUCCAUCCCAUAUAAAAUCUCCAUUCUCCUAUUGAUCAUUUGUAACUUUUAGGACAACCACAGGCAGGAGGCAGGAUAAUAAUACAUGUGUGGUAGAAGCUGAACCAUGACACAGAAAUCACGAGAGGGGUCAAAGACACAGUUGAUACACAUGGGAUGAGCCUUGUGUUACAGGCCCACCAACUGACUGGAUAUGGCACAAGCCACCAGAAGGUCAUCUAUAUAUGUAAAAGAGUACCUAGGGGAUUGUUGGCCCAGAAAGAGGCAAGAUCAUGAUGUAGAGCUUCAUCAAACAAGAGAGUCGUCCUUCCUUAAUACUCAGGAAUAAAUUUGGCGUGAUAGAACCACCACCAGAUGAAAUUAUUUUUCUGCCACCACCAGUUGAUGUAAUUAUAAAAUCUCCAUUCUCUUAUUGAUCAUUUUUAACUUUUAGGACAGCCACAGCUAAGGAACCAUACCAUUAUGAUACUCCUGUGGGCUGCCUACGUUCUACAAGCCCAGCUCUCUGAUACCCCACCACCACCACCACU